rnacentral:ncRNA from 1 species
ACAAGCGCCAGAGCUGCCAUGCAGGGUAGUUGACGAGGUGGAAGUCAUCGAAAAUUCGGCGGAUGCUUCCCGUCCGCGGCAUACGGACGUGAGAGUUUCCACAAACCCCGCAGGCGACUGCGGUACAAAAG